CAGUAGCCGCGGGAACACCGAGGGUGCAAGCGUUAAUCGGAAUUACUGGGCGUAAAGCGCGCGUAGGUGGUUUGUUAAGUUGGAUGUGAAAGCCCCGGGCUCAACCUGGGAACUGCAUCCAAAACUGGCAAGCUAGAGUACGGUAGAGGUGGUGGAAUUUCCUGUGUAGCGGUGAAAUGCGUAGAUAUAGGAAGGAACACCAGUGGCGAAGGCGACCACCUGGACUGAUACUGACACUGAGGUGCGAAAGCGUGGGGAGCAAACAGGAUUAGAUACCCGCGUAGUCCCUGUCUCUUAUACA
rnacentral:rRNA from 1 species